rnacentral:lncRNA from 1 species
GCUGGAGGAGAAACAAAAUAUAUAAUCCUCAUCUUAGAAGAAAUUAGACUGAGAAAGAAAUCCUACCUAGGGGUAUGUUUUUGUAGCGGUGUGCGUGGACCCAAAGGAUCAGAGCGGAGGUGGGAGAAGUUAAACACUGAGCGUCCCAACUUGCCGGCGAGAUCCCUCCCGUUUCCCCGCCCACCAAGCCCGGGACCCGCCCAAUCCCCGCCCAUCAGCCGAAGCCACGCCCCCAGCCCUGUCUGUCCGGCAAAGGCCCCACCUCUGCGUCCCCUCUCCAGGUCCAGUCCGACCCCAUCCCAGAGCCUAACCUUCACCCCGCGGGGAAGGAAACGAGGACUUCUCCUCCGAGGCUGGAUGAAAAAGGAGUCAACACGUCUCUCACUGCCUGAAGCACCUCCGGCCCCGAGAGCCGCAGCGCCGGCCACUUCCGCUCCUCGCGUCCGGAAGCGGAAGUGCGCGGCUGCGGCCGACUGCGGCGGGUGUGCUGGGCCGCGCGGCGCGCCGCGGUGGGAGUGUCUCCGGCCGUUCUGCAGGGAGGACACCUAAUGAGACCUUAAAUCCUGGCACUGGUGUCAUGGUGAGGGGGCUGGGAGAGUUGGAAUUGUUGAGGGGGGGAUAAUUCUGUCCUCUGGGCCCUGUCCCCUCUCUCCCCACCCCAAAAUGAGGAAGAAACGGGAGGGGUAGUGUGGAGCACCUUCUGCCUUGCCCCCGGGGACCUGGUGGCCUCUUUCAGUGCCUGGCCUCUGGAGGGAUCUGGCUCGGGAGGAGGGUCCCCACAGUGACCCCGGGGGCUCUGAGCUGAACUCCAGAGUCUGACUGCAGAAUGAGGUUCAUUUAGAUUUUUAAAAAAUGUUUAUUCAUUUUUUUUUGAGAGACCGAGCAUGAGCAGGGGAGGGGGAGAGAGAGAGAGGGAGACACGGAAUCCAAAGCAGGCUCCAGGCUCUGAGCCGUCAGCCCGGAGCCCGAUGCGGGGCUCGAACUCACGAACCGCGAGAUCACGACCUGAGCCGAAGCCAGAUGCCUAACCGACUGAGCCACCCAGGCGCCCCUGAAUGAGGCUCAUUUAGAGUCGGUAGCAGCAGAGCUCCACCGGGGCCAUCCCUUGUGAGGCCUCCCCAAACCACGCGUGUCUGUAUACAUUUAAAUUAAUUGAAAUUCAGUAAAAUUAAAGGUCAGUUUCUCAGGGGCCUGAGUCACAUUUCUCAAGUGCUCAGUAGCUACACAUGCUGGGGGCUGCUCUCUUGGAAAGCACAGACAGAGAACAUUCCCACCAUCUCAUAGAGCUCGACCAGACCAUGCUGAGCUCGAGGGUUCUGAAAUUAAAAGGCCGUUGGGUUUCUCAGGCGCGACGGAAGUCCUGUUUUAGCAACUCAUAAAAGGCUUACAAAGUGCUUAUGUGAGUCUUGGGAGGGGUUCUAGGGAUUUCACGAAAAUUAUGUGAUGGACCCCAAACUUGUGAUGCCUUAAAUAAGAAAUGUAGGAAAAACUCUCCCUAGAGCCCAGAGAUCGUCUCUGCAGUGGCGGCUGAAGUGGCGAAGAGAGCCAAAGCCCGCACUCUGGCAUUUCUCCAAAUGUCAGAAGCGAGGAAAUGUCUGCUAGGGUGGCCAUGUGAUCCCUGUCCCGGUCACAGCAACGACUCACUGUUGUGGGUACGGCACAAAAUGAGCCGUGGAGAUGGCCAAACAGAUGGGGCAUGGCGGCGUGCCAAUGAAACUUGAAAAGACAGGAGGCGGGCCGGGUUUGUGGAGCCCUGCUGUGGAGACAGUGUCCCGAACGUUCUCCCUUCCCCGGUGAUAACCAGUUGUCCUGCAGGUGGGUUUUGCUGAGCCAGCAUACGUGUGUUGUUGUAGGAGUCAGUCACCUUUGAGGAUGUGGCGGUGGGGCUCCUCCGGGAGUGGGCAUUACUGGACGGUGCGCGGACGAACCUGUGCCGAUACGUGAUACUGGACAAGUGCAGGACUCUGGCCCCCAAGGGUAAGGCUGGCAUCGGGCUGGUCCUUCUUCUUCUUCUUCUUCUUUUUUUCAAGUUUAUUUUUUAUUUAUUUUGAGAGAGAGAGAGAGAGAGAGCAAGCAGGGGAAGGGCAUAGAGAGCGGGAGAAAGAAUCCUAAGCAGGCUCUGAGCUGUCAGCACAGAGCCCGAUGCAGGGCUCGAGCCCACAAACGGCGAUACCAUGACCCGAGCCAAAGGCAAGAGUCAGAUGCUCAGCCGACUGAGCCAUCCAGGCGUCCCAUGGCUGGUCCUUAUAUGCAGGUGCCUAAUGCUUCUUAAGGGUCGGCUACGCGACCAAGGAAGGUAUGUGGGUAUCUGCAGGAUAAGAGCCUCAUCCAUGGCAGUGCAUCCAUUCUCCCCAGAGUCAGAACCGCGUGGGUCUCACUGAGCUUGGACUUGGGCUUCAGGGCUUCAUCCCCAUGGUGCAGAGAGGAGGGUAUUUGCGGUUUGGGCCCUUGUGAAAGAGCUUCGCUGAGUUCGUUGGAAAUGGGGCAUGAUCACUUUGCUACCCAUGGUGGUCGCUCACCGCCAGGAGCUGAAGCCUACUGCCAACCCUCGCUCCCUCUCUGAGCACGGGCAUCUUUGUCCAGGAGCGGGGACUCCACCACGCAAACCCAGUCUGGGCUCCCAGCUGGGGCCGGGGCAGAGCUGAGGGCCCUGUGGGUGUGGGUGAGUGUGUGUGUGGUGCCCGCCGGGUUGGGGGGGGGGCGGCGUGCUGGGAAGUGUCAGCCUGAGAGCGUUUCAGAGGCCCAAGGGGGAACGAGGCUCUUUGGGGUGACGUUUCUCUAGUGAGCUCCUUCAGUGUUCCUUCUCUUCUGCUGGCCUUCUUCUCCUGCCUGUCUUUGGUCUCAGAAAAAGAUCUGUUUGAAUCUCUCUCUUUUAGUUUUUAAAGUGGAAAUACUCACACCAUAAAAUUCACCUUUUAUUUUUUUUCAACGUUUAUUUAUUUUUGGGACAGAGAGAGACAGAGCAUGAAUGGGGGAGGGGCAGAGAGAGAGGGAGACACAGAAUUGGAAACAGCCUCCAGGCUCUGAGCCAUCAGCCCAGAGCCCGACGCGGGGCUCAAACUCACGGACCGCGAGAUCGUGACCUGGCUGAAGUCGGACGCUUAACCGACUGCGCCACCCAGGCGCCCCAAAAUUCACCCUUUUAAAGUGUAUGCAGUUCAGUGGUUUUUAGUAUAUUCACAACGUGCAGCCAUCACCAGUAUCCGCCCCCCCCCCCCUCCCUGCCACCUCCAUCUGCUUUCUGUCUCUGGAUUUGCCUGUUCUGGACGUUUUGUACAAAUAGGAUCACGUAAAUGUGGCCUUUGGUCUCUCUUCUUUCCCUAGUGUAACGUUUUCCGUGUUCGUCCACACAUAGCAUGUGUCCCAGCCUUGUUCCUUUUUACUGCUGAGUCCUGUUCCGUUGUACGGGUAGACCACGUUUUGUUUGUCCAGUCAUCUGCUGAUGGGCAUUUGGUUUGUUUUCACUUUUUUGGCUCUUGUGAGUAGUGUUGUGAACAUUCACGUACCAGAUUUUAUGUCUCCAGUUCUGUUCGGUUGAUACUUAGGAGUGGAGUGGCCGGGUCAUUGACUUAACUUUUUUUUUUUUGUUUUAUCUUUUUUUAAUGUUUACUUAUUUUUGAGAGAGGGAGAGAGAGAGCACAAGCUGGGGAGGGACAGAGAGAGGGAGACACAGGAUCCGAAGCAGGCUCCAGGCUCCGAGCUGUCAGCACAGAGCCCGACGUGGGGCUGGAACUCACAGACCGUGAGAUCAUGACCUGAGCGGAAGUUGGAUGCCUAACCGACUGAGCCACCCAAGCGCCCCGUAUACUUAACUUUUUGAGGAACACCAAACUGCUCCCUCGGACAGGCGCAUGCACCAUUUUACAUUCCCACCAGUGGUGGUAGAGAGUUCUGAUUUCUCCACGUUAUACCCACACUUACUGUCCAAUCCCUCUUUUUUUUUGUUAUUGUUUAUUUAUUUUGAGAGAGAGGGAGAGAGCAUGAGCAGGGGAGGGGCAGAGAGAGGGAGAGAGAAUCCCUAGCAGGCUCCACACUGCCAGUGCAGAGCCAGAUGCGGGGCUCGAUCCCACGACUGUGAGAUCACGAUCUGAGCCCAGAUCAAGAGCCAGACGCUUAACCGACUGAACCACCCAGGCACCCCUCCGGUUCCUCUUUAAAUUGAACAUUUCUGCUGUGUUCUUUGUCUAAUUGCUUGCUACUUGUUUCUGUGAUAAUGCUGUCUUACUGGCGACAUCUGUCUCCGUCUCCAUGGGAAACAGCCUCUCAUCCUGGCCCCCCGCCCUGGUCGCUGCCAAGUUCGUCACACGCCCAUAGUCCUCAAGAGCCUCCCUUUGCUCACUGAUGCCUUCUUGCCUUUCAGUAUUGUCCCCAGUUGAGAGUCAAUACUUCAAAAACAGUAUUUUAAAACAGCGAAUAAAUAAAUAAAUGAAUACA